GCCUGGGUAGCUCAGUCGGUUAAGCAUCUGACUCGUAAUUUCAUCUCAGGUCAUGAUCUCACAGUUGUGGGAUCGAGCCCCACAUUAGGCU
rnacentral:tRNA from 1 species